rnacentral:rRNA from 1 species
UACGGAGGGUGCGAGCGUUAAUCGGAAUUACUGGGCGUAAAGCGCACGUAGGCGGUUUGUUAAGUCGGAUGUGAAAUCCCCGGGCUCAACCUGGGUGCUGCAUUCGAUACUGGCAGGCUUGAAUACGGUAGAGGGGGGUGGAAUUCCAGGUGUAGCGGUGAAAUGCGUAGAGAUCUGGAGGAACACCAGUGGCGAAGGCGGCCCCCUGGACCGAUAUUGACGCUGAGGUGCGAAAGCGUGGGGAGCAAACAGG